UUCCUUCUCUCUCUGGUCCCUUAGAUUUAUUCCAUUUUCUCAGACGAGCUCAAAUGUCUGCAAUGGCGGCUUGCACUGUGAAUGUGCUCAGGUGACUGGCUCCAGCGACUCUGCUUCAUCGACGUGCUGCGUGGUGCUCAGAAAGUCUUGAUCCCAGUUUUGCAAGAGACAGGUAGGUUACACAAGGCAAUCUCAUCUGAUGUUGGAUGAUUUCAUUAAGGUA